AAAACCUGUCAUCUUCUCUUAAAAAUACAAAAAACUUGAUCUGUACUAAACGAAAUUGCCCUAAUUGCGUAUCUCAAUUUUCUCUUCUCACUGCUGUGUGCGCAAUUCUCUCUUCUCACUGUUGUGUCCACAAACUUGAUACUCAAUUCCCUUCGCAAUCCACAUUUGCAGGUUUUUUUUUAUGUGAUGUAAAUUACACCCUAUAAGUAUGAUUCCCUUACCUUGAAGUUGUCUUCAAGAAUGAACUGGCAACUGCUAUGGAGAUUUUAGUGCCAAGAGUUAUCAGGAAUUUAAAUGUCAUGCGGGGCUAUGAUUUGUUAAAACAUAUGGAAUGCAGUUAUCCUCCUGUAAUGUAAGAAGUUGCACAACUACGUUUGAUAACAAUUGCAAGAAGAGACUUACCAAAAGGUUGAGAUUCACAUGUUGGAUGGCUUGGUGAAGAAAAGAAUGCAUUAUUCCCCUAAUGUUUAUUACUUCAUUCCAGUGUAUGAUUAGGUACUUCCAGCAGAUGGUACUGAGUUGCACAUUUUCUUGGACAGGCUUAUGUUUUUUCCUUCUUUCCUGAUAAGUCAUCAAAAUUAUGUUGUCAUUUAUGUUUUGAGGUUACAGUGUACUUUAACUGUCCUUAAAUUAGAAGAUUGGUUUAUGCCUCAAGAAAACCAGAUUACCAAGUGUCGAUACACACGAUGAUUAUUCAUCCACAUCAUACUGGCUGCAAUGGUAAUGAAGAUAUAAAUUUUUUGUUCAUGGUGUUUUUCCUUGUUCUUAUAAUAUUGAAAUUAGUCUUUGGAUCCUUUGUUCCAUAAACAAAGAACAGAGGAGGGGGAGCUUUAAUCUUUUACAUGCUAAUUUUCAACUUCUUUACAUACUAAUUUUCUUGUGUCACUAUUUCUGUAGGUUUACUCUAUCUGGAUGAAUUGUCGGAAAUGUUGGUAGGGAGAACUGCUCUCUAAAAGAUGGAGGUCCAUCAACUGUGAACGUUGAGCUAUUUUCUCCCACAGGUGAUGUUGUGUCCUCUGCAUUAUCAACACCCAGAGGAACAUACUCCUUCAAAAACACUAUACCAAUUGAGUUGGGUUUCGAAAAUAGAGUAGUGGAUAACUUCAUCUUUGUAAUUGUACUCGAUUAUGAUAUUCGUGGCUCUGUGGUUGCUCAGGUGAGUUUCUUUAGUAAUGACUUGAUCUCUGUUUUUGUUUUAUGUUUUAUAUUAAGGUUUGCUACUGUGACUUGUAAGAGUUUCCAUGUAUUUCUUCAGUAAAAUUGAUAGGUCAAAGAUAACCUUUUACUCUGCACAAUCUGUUUUUCAUAGUCAUUUCACUAUGAACUAUAUUUACACAACAAUCAAGGCAAGACCAUUGCUAAAACUGACUAGAGGUAUUUGGAGUUAUUAUGAUCAAAUGAAUUUGUACCUGCUUAUGUUUUCUUUCACAUAGUUAAAGUGAUGAAAAUGCGUAAAGGAGGUGGAGAUCUUAAUAGCCAAGGUUGUUUCUUCCUCUAGUGAGCUGUGAGAGGUAAAAUCCCAACUUCUUUAUGAGACAAUGUUGUAUGGCUACCUUGGUAUCAUAAUGGAAAAUUAGUAUAAAGUGGUCGUAUUCUAUUCAAAGAAGUUAUGUUGAUUGUAGGUGUGGGUGUUAGAUUUAUUAAAUUUUCAUUUGUUUUUUCUGUUUUCAGUUAUGAAAAAGGGUGUACCAAAGGUUUUUUUUCAAGUUUGGUUCAACUUUGAAUUGAGAGGGAAACCCCAUACUGGGAGUUCAUAUCCAUUUAUACUCAAAUGGUGUCACAAAUGUUGAUUGCCCUAAGGGCUCUAAAAAUUAGCCUGGUGAUCUAGGAUUGGGAGAAACACUUUGCCACAACGUGACACAUGCUAAUGGAAUCUUCUUGUUGAUAUCCAUUCCUUGUGGAGUUACUUGAUUUAGGCGAAACAAUAAGAACUAAAAGUGAAGGACUUGAUUAUUUUUUUCUUGCCUUGUGAUGGAAGCUUGCAAUUUGAACUGAAAGUCGAGGACUUAAACUGUAGAAACAUGAGUUACUUGAUUAUUUUUUUGCUAUGUAUUCAAAUGUUAUGAAAAAUUUGAUAUCAUACUUUGGCUCGAUCGGGAUGGUAACUAUGUUUUUUGUAAAACAAAUAUUGAAACUAAUACCAUGGGAUGUUAACUAAGUUCUGGUCUCUAAUUAUAUCAUGUUGUAUCGAUAUUCUCGAUAGCAAUUUGAUAUUUAUUUGAUAAAAAUUAUUAUUUUGUGAUAGUAGGCUUAUCUGUGGUCAAUUAGAGAUUAAAAAUAUUGCUCGUAUUUAAAUAUUUAUCUAGGAUUAGAGAGUUGCUCGUCUAUAAAGGUUGAUCUAGGAUUGGGAUGUUGCUCGUCCUAAAAGGUUGAUCAAGGUAAAAAAUUUUGCUUGUCGCUAAAGGAUAAUUUAGGACCAAGUAUUUCUCGUCCCUAAAAGAUAAUUUAGGACCAGUAAAUUGUUGGUCAAAGAAGAGAUUAAUGACCAGGUAGUUAGUCUAUUUGGGAUGAGAUUGGUCAAAGAAGAGAUUAAUGACCAGGUAGUUAGUCUAUUUGGGAUGAGAAAUACCGUUGCGAAAAUAUAAUUAUGAUAAGGUAGUUAGUUUAUUAGGGACAAGAUAUAUCAUUGCAAAAAGAUAAUUAUGACUAGGUAGUUAGUAUAUUUAAGACGAGAUAUAUCAUCGCAAAAGGAUAAUUACGUCCAGGUAGUUAGUCGAUUGGGACAAGAUACACCAUUGCUAAAAGAUAAUUACGACUGGUUUUUUUGCCAUCUCAAAAGUAUUUUAAGGACUGACUUAUUAGAUUCGUCGCAAUUUUAAGGACUGACUUAUUAGAUUCGCCGCUAUUGAUCUUUUGCGGCGGAGCCUGUUAGGAUGGGACGCGACAAGUUUUUUUCCGUCCUAAAAGACCAAUUGGGACAAGAUUUAGACUUUUUAGGACCAUAUUUUCCUUUUUUAUAGGCUGUUUUUCUUGUAGUGUCUAGAGAAUGAAAGCUGGUAGCUUAUCUUUCCCUUCUCACAUUAAUUGUAUUGCUUGUUUCAUAGCUCAAUAGCAAAUUUCACUAGUUUAUAAUUUUCUAUGAAAAUGUUGUUACGAUUCUUGUUUAUUAUUGAUGACCUUAUAAUUUCUUUAUAGGAGAGAGAAUAUUAUGAAAGACAAAUCGCAACUCUCAAGUCCUUUGAGGAAGUCGACUCACUUGAUUCAGCUGAUAACAUUGAUGAAGAGAAAGACAUAAUAGAGCAAGCACAACAUGAAAGAGCAAUGCAUAUAUAUAAUUAGGCAAAUGUCUUAUUACUUACUUUUAAGAUAUAUGCUACUGUAAAAAGUGGUUCUUUAGCGAUUGCAGCAUCCAGAUUAGAUUCAUUACUUGAUCUAAUUGCUGGUGGUAUUCUUUGGUUCACACAUUUGUCAAUGAAAAGUAUAAAUAUUUACAAGUACCCUAUAGGGAAAUUAAGAGUUCCACCAGUUGGGAUUAUCAUUUUUGCAGCUGUUAUGGAAACUCUAGAUCCUAUGAUGAAAAUAAAUGAAAAUUGAGCUGAAAAUCAAGAAGACUAAGCAAAAAAGGACAAAAGCUGGGGAACAGGAGGCCCUUAGGUACAACGAUUACGAUCCUUAGAGUCGUGAUCGCUGUAAAUCAGUCAGAGAUCAGAAGACCCUCAAGUGAUUCGAUCGUGAUAAGAUUCUACACGAUCUUGGAAGCAUGAUCGCAAUUCGGAGAUCACGAUUGUGAUUGAGUGGCUAAAUAUCCUGGGGGCAAAUUUUUCAAUUCACUCAGCUCAACCAAAUUCCACAAAAUGGCAAACCCUUACACAUUUUUGGGCAUCUUCCAACCACUUUGAAGCUCUCAUAGACAAAACAUUUUCGAUUAGUGAGAAGACAAAAUUGUUAUUAAAUCUUCCAAAAAGAUAUUUUUGUUUGUAAUUUGAAUUUG